UAAUACAGAGGUCCCGAGCGUUGUUCGGAUUUACUGGGCGUAAAGGGUGCGUAGGCGGUGGGGUAAGUUUGAGGUGAAAGCUCCGGGCUCAACCCGGAAAAUGCCUUGAAAACUAUCCGGCUAGAGGGUUGGAGGGGAGACUGGAAUUCUCGGUGUAGCAGUGAAAUGCGUAGAUCUCGAGAGGAACACCAGUGGCGAAGGCGGGUCUCUGGACAACACCUGACGCUGAGGCACGAAAGCCAGGGGAGCAAACGGGAUUAGAUACCCCGGUAGUCCUGGCCCUAAACGGUGCGUACUUGCUGUAAGCGGAUUCGACCCCGCUUGUGGCGCAGUUAACACGAUAAGUACGCCGCCUGGGAAGUACGGUCGCAAGAUUA
rnacentral:rRNA from 1 species